GCUGAACUGUGCAUUUAACAAAGGACUACCUCUGAAUUCUCGGUUCUGACUCUUUAAAAUGAACAUUUGUUGAGUGGAGCAUGUGGUGCUGGAUGGCGAGCUGUGGUUCAGCAACGGACCACAAGAGAAACUGAAGCGGAGAAGUCUGUUAGUCACAGCUGGCCGUUUGCUGGCUGUCGGGAGCGAGUUCUUCCAGUGCCCCAGAUGCGUGUGGGUGUAAAGGAUGCAGGCGUUAUGAAAACUUCUGCUUCUGUUUGGGAUAAAAAUGAAAACUAGGUUUUGAAAAGAAGAUGUCACAAUUAAUGAAGAGCCUGAAAAAUCUAGCCCUGGUGGCCUAGUGGUUAAGAUCCGGUGCGCUCACUGCCACGGCCUGGGUUUGUCUCCUGGUCAGGGAACCACACACCCGUCUGUCUGUUGUCACAUUGUGGUGGCUGCUGUUGCCAUGAUGCUGAAAGCUGUGCACCAGUAUUUC
rnacentral:lncRNA from 1 species